rnacentral:rRNA from 1 species
GAUGAACGCUGGCGGCGUGCCUAAUACAUGCAAGUCGAACGCAUUGUGGUUGAAAUGAUAUGAAGAACUUGUUCAGAUUUGAUUUUCAACAUUGCAAUGAGUGGCGAACGGGUGAGUAACACGUGGGAAACCUACCUCUUAGCAGGGGAUAACAUUUGGAAACAAAUGCUAAUACCGUAUAAUAAUUAAAACCGCAUGGUUUUAGUUUAAAAGAUGGUCUUGCUAUCACUAAGAGAUGGUCCCGCGGUGUAUUAGUUAGUUGGUGAGGUAAUGGCUCACCAAGACAAUGAUACAUAGCCGAGUUGAGAGACUGACCGGCCACAAUGGGACUGAGACACGGCCCAUACUCCUACGGGAGGCAGCAGUAGGGAAUCUUCCACAAUGGACGAAAGUCUGAUGGAGCAACGCCGCGUGUGUGAUGAAGGUUUCGGCUCGUAAAACACUGUUGUAAGAGAGAAUGACAUUGAGAGUAACUGUUCAAUGUGUGACGGUAUCUU